rnacentral:misc_RNA from 1 species
UUUCCGUAGGUGAACCUGCGGAAGGAUCAUUACCUAGAGUUGUAGGCUUUGCCUGCUAUCUCUUACCCAUGUCUUUUAAGUACCUUCGUUUCCUCGGCGGGUUCGCCCGCCGAUUGGACAAUUUAAACCAUUUGCAGUUGCAAUCAGCGUCUGAAAAAACUUAAUAGUUACAACUUUCAACAACGGAUCUCUUGGUUCUG